rnacentral:rRNA from 1 species
AUUAAAGUCACAACGGAAAAAGAUGAGCAUGCGUCCCAUUAGCUAGUUGGUAAGGUAACGGCUUACCAAGGCAACGAUGGGUAGGGGUCCUGAGAGGGAGAUCCCCCACACUGGUACUGAGACACGGACCAGACUCCUACGGGAGGCAGCAGUGAGGAAUAUUGGACAAAGGGCGCAAGCCUGAUCCAGCCAUGCCGCGUGCAGGAUGACGGUCCUAUGGAUUGUAAACUGCUUUUGUACAGGAAGAAACACUCCCUCGUGAGGGAGCUUGACGGUACUGUAAGAAUAAGGAUCGGCUAACUCCGUGCCAGCAGCCGCGGUAAUACGGAGGAUCCAAGCGUUAUCCGGAAUCAUUGGGUUUAAAGGGUCCGUAGGCGGUCUUAUAAGUCAGUGGUGAAAUCUCCCUGCUCAACGGGGAAACGGCCAUUGAUACUGUAGGACUUGAAUUAUUAGGAAGUAACUAGAAUAUGUAGUGUAGCGGUGAAAUGCUUAGAGAUUACAUGGAAUACCAAUUGCGAAGGCAGGUUACUACUAAUGGAUUGACGCUGAUGGACGAAAGCGUGGGUAGCGAACAGGAUUAGAUACCCUGGUAGUCCACGCCGUAACGAUGGAUACUAGCUGUUGGGCGCAAGUUCAGUGGCUAAGCGAAAGUGAUAAGUAUCCCACCUGGGGAGUACGCUCGCAAGAAUGAAACUCA